UCCGAAGGAAACACUGCCAGAUGCCUU
rnacentral:piRNA from 1 species